CCCCAUCCCCGCCCGUUUACCCGCUGCGGGUUUCAAAACCGUUACCACCACAGUUUGUGGGCGGGUUUCGGUUACCCGCGGAUCCCCAUACAACUAAUGAAAAUUAUAAAUCUCUUAACUUACAAUCCAUACAUCAUUCCGAAUCUGAACUUCAAACAUGAAUUCUUUAAAUUCCAGAAAAUUACUAAGCAACAUUCAAAAGUUCACUGUCACUAAGCAAUAUUCAAAAAUUACUAAGAAACAUGAACUUGAUUGAGACCACAUUUCAGCUCACUGCCAC
rnacentral:lncRNA from 1 species